AUUGCUUCUCGGCCUUUUGGCUAAGAUCAAGUGUAGAUAGUUUCCAUAUAUCUUGACUAUGUAAAUAAUGCUCGAAAGAACAUGGGAGUACAAGUAUUUCUUAAAAAUCUGUUUUUGAUUUUUUGAGGAACCUCCA
rnacentral:snRNA from 1 species